AUUGAACGCUGGCGGCAUGCCUAACACAUGCAAGUCGAACGAGUGGCGGACGGGUGAGUAAUGUGUGGGAAACUGCCUGAUGGAGGGGGGUAACUACUGGAAACGGUAGCUAAUACCGCAUACCAUCGGAUGUGCCCAGAUGGGCUUAGCUAGUAGGUGGGGUAAAGGCUCACCUAGGCUACGAUCCCUAGCUGGUCUUAGAGGAUGACCAGCCAAACUGGAACUGAGACACGGUCCAAACUCCUACGGGAGGCAGCAGUGGGGAAUAUUGCACAAUGGGCGCAAGCCUGAUGCAGCCAUGCCGCGUGUAUGAAGAAGGCCUUCGGGUUGUAAAGUACUUUCAGCGGGGAGGCGUUACCCGCAGAGGAAGCACCGGCUAACUCCGUGCCAGCCGCCGCGGUAAUUC
rnacentral:rRNA from 1 species